ACCGCGGCGCGCGUUCCGACAGUCCUCGCGGCCCGCGGUCACGUGACGUGUCUCCGUCUCUCUCCCCCCCCCCCCCCCGCCAGGGCCGGUGACUGCCCCGACUGUCAGGGCAUAUCUCUCCCUGUAUCUCCCUGUAUCUCCUUGUAUCUCCCUCUCUCCUGGAUUCAGCGACCCCCGCGCUGGGCUUGAAGACCUGCAUCUCGGCGCAGAGGCGCGGAGUUCCGUGACCGAGUACCAACAGCUACGUCAUCUCACGCGUGCGUCUCAAGGCAUACGUAGUUCACAAACUACGCAGCUCGAGCGACUCUCGAGAUGAAGAAAACGCAGAGCGCAACACAGUGAAGUCCAGGUUGCCCGCAGAGUUGUCACGUGACCACGCCACGUCUCCGGCCUGAGAUCUGCUCCGGGGGCCACACAGAGCCGUGCAGGGACCUCGGCUGCCACCCAACCACAGUGCGGAAGAAACACGCGUCCUGAAUGGUCCGGCCAGCUGGUGCCCGCGGCGAUGGGGGCAGCGCCACUGUUGCACUUCGAGCUGCUGCUGCCCAGCAACAAGGCGUGGCGCACCAAGAACUACUUCCGGCUGGUGGCGCGCCAGCGGGGGCUGUCUCCCGACACGAUGGCGCCGGCGUUGCUGGAGGAGGCGGACAGCCGCUGGGAGGAGGAGGCGGCGGCUGCGGCGGCGGCG